rnacentral:rRNA from 1 species
GUGGGGAAUCUUAGACAAUGGGCGCAAGCCUGAUCUAGCCAUGCCGCGUGAGCGAUGAAGGCCUUAGGGUUGUAAAGCUCUUUCGCUGGGGAAGAUAAUGACUGUAUCCAGUAAAGAAGCCCCGGCUAACUCCGUGCCAGCAGCCGCGGUAAUACGGAGGGGGCUAGCGUUGUUCGGAAUUACUGGGCGUAAAGCGCGCGUAGGCGGAUUGGAAAGUUGGGGGUGAAAUCCCGGGGCUCAACCUCGGAACUGCCUUCAAAACUCCCAGUCUUGAGUGCGAGAGAGGUGAGUGGAAUUCCGAGUGUAGAGGUGAAAUUCGUAGAUAUUCGGAGGAACACCAGUGGCGAAGGCGGCUCACUGGCUCGAUACUGACGCUGAGGUGCGAAAGCGUGGGGAGCAAACAGGAUUAGAAACCCCUGUAGUCC